rnacentral:rRNA from 1 species
CGCCAGACUCCUACGGGAGGCAGCAGUGGGGAAUAUUGCACAAUGGGGGAAACCCUGAUGCAGCGACGCCGCGUGAGCGAUGAAGUAUUUCGGUAUGUAAAGCUCUAUCAGCAGGGAAGAAAAUGACGGUACCUGACUAAGAAGCCCCGGCUAACUACGUGCCAGCAGCCGCGGUAAUACGUAGGGGGCAAGCGUUAUCCGGAUUUACUGGGUGUAAAGGGAGCGUAGACGGCUGUGCAAGCCAGAUGUGAAAGCCCGGGGCUCAACCCCGGGACUGCAUUUGGAACUGUGUGGCUGGAGUGUCGGAGAGGCAGGCGGAAUUCCUAGUGUAGCGGUGAAAUGUGUAGAUAUUAGGAGGAACACCAGUGGCGAAGGCGGCCUGCUGGACGAUGACUGACGUUGAGGCUCGAAAGCGUGGGGAGCAAACAGGAUUAGAUACCCGUGUAA